UACGGGGGGGGCAAGCGUUGUUCGGAAUUACUGGGCGUAAAGGGCUCGUAGGCGGUUUGUCGCGUCUGCCGUGAAAGUCCGGGGCUCAACUCCGGAUCUGCGGUGGGUACGGGCAGACUAGAGUGAUGUAGGGGAGACUGGAAUUCCUGGUGUAGCGGUGAAAUGCGCAGAUAUCAGGAGGAACACCGAUGGCGAAGGCAGGUCUCUGGGCCGAUACUGACGCUGAGGAGCGAAAGCGUGGGGAGCAAACAGG
rnacentral:rRNA from 1 species